rnacentral:lncRNA from 1 species
CGACUUGCUCAUCCCUCCCAAGCAGAUUUAUGGAAACUCACCUGGAAACCACCACAACCUGGAAAGGUGGCAGGAGGAUGUUUAUCAGGCGCCUCAGCUUUGAUGAAACUCUACUUUGUGCACAGCAUCCACCAGAACCCCUCGGUGUUACUCCUGUGAGACUUCAGAUGCAAAAGGAACUGAUGCAAUCACUAAGCUCAUGAAACUUAACGUGUCAUGAGUAAUAAAGUCCGUUGUCUCCAACCCAAGAGUCUUGUGUCCUCUGCCAGCAUCCCUGAAACUGUAACAGACUAACUUGCUUACAAGUAUGAAGAAGUCUCAGCCCCUUCACAGUUUGAUGAUUGCUCAUGUAUUUGGGAAUUGCCCAUAUA